AGUGAACGCUGGCGGUAGGCCUAACACAUGCAAGUCGAACGGCAGCACAGUAAGAGCUUGCUCUUACGGGUUGCGAGUGGCGGACGGGUGAGGAAUACAUCGGAAUCUACUUUUUCGUGGGGGAUAACGUAGGGAAACUUACGCUAAUACCGCAUACGACCUACGGGUGAAAGCAGGGGAUCUUCGCACCUUGCGCGAUUGAAUGAGCCGAUGUCGGAUUAGCUAGUUGGCGGGGUAAAGGCCCACCAAGGCGACGAUCCGUAGCUGGUCUGAGAGGAUGAUCAGCCACACUGGAACUGAGACACGGUCCAGACUCCUACGGGAGGCAGCAGUGGGGAAUAUUGGACAAUGGGCGCAAGCCUGAUCCAGCCAUACCGCGUGGGUGAAGAAGGCCUUCGGGUUGUAAAGCCCUUUUGUUGGGAAAGAAAAGCAGCAGGUUAAUACCCCGCUGUUCUGACGGUACCCAAAGAAUAAGCACCGGCUAACUUCGUG
rnacentral:rRNA from 1 species